UAGGGAAUCUUCGGCAAUGGGCGCAAGCCUGACCGAGCAACGCCGCGUGAGCGAAGAAGGCCUUCGGGUUGUAAAGCCCUGUCCUCGGGGACGAAACAAAUGACGGUACCCGAGGAGGAAGCCCCGGCUAACUACGUGCCAGCAGCCGCGGUAAUA
rnacentral:rRNA from 1 species